AAUAUUGGACAAUGGGGGGAACCCUGAUCCAGCCAUGCCGCGUGUGUGAAGAAGGUCUUCGGAUUNUCAAGCACUUUAAGUUGGGANGAAGAGUUGUAGGCUAAUACCUUGCAAUUUUGACGUUACCAACAGAAUAAGCACCUGCUAACUUCGUGCCAGCAGCCGCGGUAAUACGAAGGGUGCAAGCGUUAAUCGGAAUUACUGGGCGUAAAGGAUGCGUAGGUGGAUACUUAAGUGGGAAGUGAAAUCCCCGGGCUCAACCUGGGAACUGCUUUCAAAACUGGCAAGCUAGAGUAUGGCAGAGGGUGGUGGAAUUUCCUGUGUAGCGGUGAAAUGCGUAGAUAUAGGAAGGAACACCAGUGGCGAAGGCGACCACCUGGGCUAAUACUGACACUGAGGUGCGAAAGCGUGGGGAGCAAACAGG
rnacentral:rRNA from 1 species